rnacentral:lncRNA from 1 species
UGGAGAACUUAUAGUGGCAUAGAAGUAAGUUGCCUGGUGCUUGCACCUCCUGAUACUCCAAUUUUUAUUUCCCCAAAGAGUGGUUGUGUGAUCCAGGGGGCAAGCACCAGCCCCUCCAGUGACCAGACACUUUGCCAAACGGUGCACGUCCCUGCAGAGCUGGUGUCCUAGAGGUAUCUGUCCACUGUAUGGGCCACGGUGAAGGCGUCUGAAUCCCAGGAUGCUCUGGGAGUACCAGUCUCGUGCAUCAGUUGGCCACGGUGAAGGCAUCUGAAUCCCAGGAUGCUCUGGGAGUACCAGUCUCGUGCAUCAAAGGAAAGCUGUCCACUUCGGGACCAUUUACAGAAUUUGUAUCCAUCAGCCCCCUUCCUUAAGCUGUGGGAAGGUCUCUGCCGGUUGAAGAUCUGGAGGAACCCACUUAUAUGGGGCAAUAGUUAAGACUCUGGGACUAAAAUGACAGCUCUAAAACAGUGGCCUGGAAACAGUUAUAUUGAGUAGUGUUGCCAGUACCUGUCAGAAUAUG